rnacentral:rRNA from 1 species
UACGAAGGGGGCUAGCGUUGCUCGGAAUUACUGGGCGUAAAGGGCGCGUAGGCGGCGCGGUUAGUCAGGCGUGAAAUUCCCGGGCUCAACCCGGGGACUGCGUUUGAUACGGCCGUGCUCGAGGAUGGAAGAGGGCCGCGGAAUUCCCAGUGUAGAGGUGAAAUUCGUAGAUAUUGGGAAGAACACCGGUGGCGAAGGCGGCGGCCUGGUCCAUUACUGACGCUGAGGCGCGACAGCGUGGGGAGCAAACAGG